rnacentral:rRNA from 1 species
AUGACUUCCACACCUACUCCAUCCUCUGGAACCCCAAGCACAUCAUCUUCAUGGUGGACGACAUGCCAAUCAGGGACUUCAAGAACCUUGAGGGAAAGGGCAUCGCCUUCCCCAAGAACCAGCCCAUGCGACUCUACUCCAGCCUCUGGAACGCCGACGACUGGGCCACGCAGGGCGGCCGCGUCAAGACGGACUGGUCCCACGCCCCAUUUUCCGCCUCCUACCGCGGAUUCAAGGCCGACGCGUGCGUGGUGA